AUUGAACGCUGGCGGCAUGCUUUACACAUGCAAGUCGAACGGUAACAGGCCUUCGGGUGCUGACGAGUGGCGAACGGGUGAGUAAUGCAUCGGAACGUACCCAGAGGUGGGGGAUAACGCAGCGAAAGCUGUGCUAAUACCGCAUGUGAUCUGAGGAUGAAAGCGGGGGACCGAGCAGCAAUGUUUGGCCUCGCGCCUUUGGAGCGGCCGAUGUCGGAUUAGCUAGUUGGUGGGGUAAAGGCCUACCAAGGCGACGAUCCGUAGCUGGUCCGAGAGGACGACCAGCCACACUGGGACUGAGACACGGCCCAGACUCCUACGGGAGGCAGCAGUGGGGAAUUUUGGACAAUGGGCGCAAGCCUGAUCCAGCAAUGCCGCGUGCGGGAAGAAGGCCUUCGGGUUGUAAACCGCUUUUGGCAGGAACGAAACGGUGUCCGCUAAUACCGGGGGCUAAUGACGGUACCUGCAGAAUAAGCACCGGCUAACUACGUG
rnacentral:rRNA from 1 species